rnacentral:rRNA from 1 species
GACGAACGCUGGCGGCGUGCUUAACACAUGCAAGUCGAACGGAAAGGCCCUGCUUUUGUGGGGUGCUCGAGUGGCGAACGGGUGAGUAACACGUGAGUAACCUGCCCUUGACUUUGGGAUAACUUCAGGAAACUGGGGCUAAUACCGGAUAGGAGCUCCUGCUGCAUGGUGGGGGUCGGAAAGUUUCGGCGGUUGGGGAUGGACUCGCGGCUUAUCAGCUUGUUGGUGGGGUAGUGGCUUACCAAGGCUUUGACGGGUAGCCGGCCUGAGAGGGUGACCGGCCACAUUGGGACUGAGAUACGGCCCAGACUCCUACGGGAGGCAGCAGUGGGGAAUAUUGCACAAUGGGCGGAAGCCUGAUGCAGCAACGCCGCGUGCGGGAUGACGGCCUUCGGGUUGUAAACCGCUUUCGCCUGUGACGAAGCGUGAGUGACGGUAAUGGGUAAAGAAGCACCGACUAACUACGUG